GUGAAGUUAGCGCGGGGGAGGAAGAGCUCUCUGGUCUGAUUACACAGAUGAAAUUACACACUCCAACUCCUCCAGAAUACCAAAGACUAUCUAGAAUUAGUGGCAUCACAAACAAAUACGAUUAAAUUUGUUUUGCCUGAGCCCAACAUCUUAAGGGAUUUGUGGCAAUGAGAAGACAUUGGUGUCAAUCAACAUGCAAAGUUCAGAGUUGUGGGGGAGCUGGAUCCUACCGGGGCAAGCAAAAGGCCCAGGGGAGGGUAUACCCUGGAUGGGAUGCCACUC